rnacentral:misc_RNA from 1 species
CAAGUGAUGACUGGAAAUAGAAUGGCAAAGGAGUUGAGAAGAAUACGGAGAAAGGAAAGGAAACAUCAAGUCAAUGCCUAGAGGCUACUUGCACGAGAUUUGUGCACAACGUAAAAUUUUUCUGUAAAUUUUGUUUGGCAAAUUGUUUAGAAUAAAUAAAUUGUGACUUAUUUGUAUUGGAAAUUUUGAUUUAAUGGAACAAUA